CGCNGGCGGCGUGCUUGACACAUGCAAGUCGAACGGUAUGUGGCAACACAUAGAGUGGCGAACGGGUGAGUAACACGUGGGAACGUACCCUACGCAGGGGGAUAACUGACCGAAAGGACAGCUAAUACCGCAUAAGACCGAGAGGUGAAAGGUGCAACUGCACCGGCGAAGGAGCGGCCCGCGGACCAUCAGCUAGUUGGUGGGGUAAGAGCCUACCAAGGCAACGACGGAUAGCCGGCGUGAGAGCGUGGCCGGCCACAAGGACACUGAGAUACGGGUCCUACUCCUACGGGAGGCAGCAGUGCGGAAUUUUAGAUAAUGGAGGCAACUCUGAUCUAGCGACGCCGCGUGCAGGAAGAAGGUCUUCGGAUUGUAAACUGCUGUGGUAAGGGAAAAAUGCCAUGUAGAGUGGAAAGCUACAUGGAGGGAUGGUACUUUACUAGAAAGCCCCGGCUAACUACGUGCCAGCAGCCGCGGUAAUACGUAGGGGGCGAGCGUUACCCGGAAUCACUGGGCGUAAAGGGAGCGUAGGUGGCCUGACAUGUCAACUGUGAAAACCCGGAGCUCAACUCCGGACUUGCAGUUGAAACUGCCAGGCUUGAGGACGGUAGAGGAAGACGGAACUGCCAGUGUAGGGGUAAAAUCCUUAGAUAUUGGCAGGAACGCCGGUGACGAAGGUGGUUUUCUGGGCCGGUUCUGACACUGAUGCUCGAAAGCCAGGGGAGCGAACGGGAUUAGAUACCCCGGUAGUCCUGGCCCUAAACGAUGUUCACUAGGUGUGGGGAGCGGAAAGCUUUCCGUGCUAAAGCUAACGCAAUAAGUGAACCGCCUGGGGAGUACGCCCGCAAGGGUGAAACU
rnacentral:rRNA from 1 species